CGGUGGCGAUACGCCCAGGGGAAACACCCGUACCCAUCCCGAACACGAUGGUUAAGACCUGGGAGGCCGAUGGUACUGCACUGGAGACGGUGUGGGAGAGUAGGUGGCUGCCGAAUC
rnacentral:rRNA from 2 species